rnacentral:rRNA from 1 species
UAGGGAAUCUUCGGCAAUGGACGAAAGUCUGACCGAGCAACGCCGCGUGAGUGAAGAAGGUUUUCGGAUCGUAAAACUCUGUUGUUAGAGAAGAACAAGGACGUUAGUAACUGAACGUCCCCUGACGGUAUCUAACCAGAAAGCCACGGCUAACUACGUGCCAGCAGCCGCGGUAAUACGUAGGUGGCAAGCGUUGUCCGGAUUUAUUGGGCGUAAAGCGAGCGCAGGCGGUUUCUUAAGUCUGAUGUGAAAGCCCCCGGCUCAACCGGGGAGGGUCAUUGGAAACUGGGAGACGUGAGUGCAGAAGGUGGGAGUGGAAUUCCAUGUGUAGCGGUGAAAUGCGUAGAUAUAUGGAGGAACACCAGUGGCGAAGGCGGCGCUCUGGUCUGUAACUGACGCUGAGGCUCGAAAGCGUGGGGAGCAAACAGG